GAUGAACGCUGGCGGCGUGCCUAAUACAUGCAAGUCGAGCGAACGGACGAGAAGCUUGCUUCUCUGAUGUUAGCGGCGGACGGGUGAGUAACACGUGGAUAACCUACCUAUAAGACUGGGAUAACUUCGGGAAACCGGAGCUAAUACCGGAUAAUAUUUUGAACCGCAUGGUUCAAAAGUGAAAGACGGUCUUGCUGUCACUUAUAGAUGGAUCCGCGCUGCAUUAGCUAGUUGGUAAGGUAACGGCUUACCAAGGCAACGAUGCAUAGCCGACCUGAGAGGGUGAUCGGCCACACUGGAACUGAGACACGGUCCAGACUCCUACGGGAGGCAGCAGUAGGGAAUCUUCCGCAAAGGGCGAAAGCCUGACGGAGCAACGCCGCGUGAGUGAUGAAGGUCUUCGGAUAGUAAAACUCUGUUAUUAGGGAAGAACAUAUGUGUAAGUAACUGUGCACAUCUUGACGGUACCUAAUCAGAAAGCCACGGCUAACUACGUG
rnacentral:rRNA from 1 species